UCCCGGUCAGGUUAAAAUCACAAUUCAC
rnacentral:sRNA from 1 species